AUUAGAUAUCAUUUUUUUCAUUCCCGUCGCUGCCGUACCAACGAUCACCGCCGGCUUCCCUUGACCGGUCGACGGACAUGGAAAACGAAGCGACUAUCUUCUCCUCUCCAAGUAAAGGGACACAUUGUUGUUAUUCAAAAUAGAGAUAAGGGCCUUCGGAAUCAGCUAAAACAAAAGGAACUCUUAAAGACGAAAGAAGUCAGGGCAUGUGAGUCAAAAUUACCUCUGUUGGUGCAACACUUCUGCUUCGAAUCUGAGUAUGAAAUGCUUAGAGAAGGAAGGAGAGAGGUGGUGAAGAGCAGCAGAAGGAGAAGCAGAUAGGGACCUCCAUGGUUGCAUGCAAAGAGGAGGAUGA